CAGCCGCCACGGUAAUACGUAGGGUGCAAGCGUUAAUCGGAAUUACUGGGCGUAAAGCGUGCGCAGGCGGUUAUAUAAGUCAGAUGUGAAAUCCCCGGGCUCAACCUGGGAACUGCAUUUGAGACUGUAUGGCUAGAGUGUGUCAGAGGGGGGUAGAAUUCCACGUGUAGCAGUGAAAUGCGUAGAUAUGUGAAGGAAUACCGAUGGCGAAGGCAGCCCCCUGGGAUAACACUGACGCUCAUGCGCGAAAGCUAGGGGAGCAAAUGGGAUUAGAGACCCCCGUAGUCCCUGUCUCUUAUAC
rnacentral:rRNA from 1 species